UACCGCUUUGACCAAUCCAGAAAAGUCCUCCUUUUCCUUCUUCCCUAUCCUAGACCUCCCCGUGCCUUCCAGAACAUGGGCAAUCUUAAGCCCCAUAUUCCCAGCGAAACCACCCCCAUCUCCAUGGCCGCUGGCGCCGCCCGACUCCCCCGCCAGGCAGCUUUGCCGUGUGUCGGAAUCUGCUCCGGCGUCGCGGCCUUCACUGAGGUGCUCCGGCUUCCCGGCGCAGCUCCUCGCGGGGCCUACGACCUCAACCUGGCAGCUGGUCACCUGGUCCGCCCUGUGGGCAUCAGCGGCUGCGCGUGCGUAGGUAUGCCCUCCAGACCGCGUCCUCCUCUAUCCCGCAACCCCAAGCCUCGCGAGCCGUGGUGACCGGGAGGGCUGUCGCAAAGAGCAGCACACGCAGCUACCGAUUUGAGCAGUCGCGGUUUUCAGUAAAAGACAAGUGACCGCAAGGACACAAUUACUCUGUUCGAUUCAAGAGCAUCCCGAGCGAAGAAUCAAGAAGCGCUAAAUACACCGACUACAGAGUUUCCUGCUGACAGACGAUGUUUUAUCAAGACAUCACGACUAACUUCAGGUUAGUUAGUGUCGCUGCACGUCCAUAGAGGCAUCCAGCAGCACACUUCCCUGUCAGCUUGAAGAGAAGGCUGUCGAACGACUUUGCAAUGUUGAUUACUUCGGUCUUGAGGUAAUUUCUGUCUAUAUAGUUUAUUUUAGUGCGAUCCUUAAUUGUAUCUACUGUAAAUCUACUCAAACUUAAUCACCCUCUUUUAUUUCAUAAAACAAAUACUUUUUAAUUAUAGACUGAAUUUUUUCAUUUAAGUUAUGGGUGGAACUACUCUUAAACGUUUGACCAAUAUUUUACCAUGUAAUCGAGUUGCAUCAUGGUUGCCUAGGCCAGUGCCCCUUUUGUCCUUUUAAAUCCACACACUGCAAUACUGGUUCAGCUCUUUCAGCUACAUAAUAUCUCCUGUUUUAUGGGCAUGCUUGCACUACCUUUGGGUGCAACAUAGAGUGGCAUUGGUCUUACAUACUUUUUUAAUGAUAAUGACACAUGUUUCCAUACAAAUAUGAUGUAUUAUAGGUUUGUAGUCUCACAUUAUAUUCUCCCUAAUAUCUCGCAUAUACUUUGAUCCUAUCCCUCUUAGUGUGUUCCCAUGCCCGAGUCACCAGCGACCUCGAUUCUGUGCUGACUUUUUAUAUCUUUGUACUGCGUCGGCGUUGCCUCAAGCACAGGGAGAAAGGGGCAUGACACAGGCUGCAGCUGGCGAUGGUGUGCUUGGCGCAACAGAGUGGUGUUAAUAUUACCACGAAAUAGGCGUUAUGUAAAUUGUUCUUCAGGUCUAUCUUUAAAGGGGGUCCUAUGUGCAGAAGGUGAGUUAUCAGAAACCAUGGUCACUAUAAGUUUACAGUAUUUGAGUUACAUGUGAGAUUUCUAAAUUUAACUUUUAGGCAUGGUAUUUGCAGGCUAACAUUUACUCAAAAUAUAUGCUUUUGUUGUACCUUUCCUUCUUCUGUUCAGAUUUAUUUGAUGUCCCAAUGCUUAUACUAUGUGCAGAUGCUCCUCUUUUGAUAAGCACGGCGUGUGGCCACAGCUUAUGUACUUCCCCUUCUACACCCACUAUUUUUGCUUCCAAUAUUGUUAUCAAAUAACUGUCACAAAUGCUCAUCCAGCAAUUUCUAGCUUCUUAAAUUACACAUUGCUAAGAGCGUUGGUAUCCCAUUCAUACAGACUACUUUCACUGCAGUAUUGUUAAAAAAUGAUUAUCACGGACAAGAUAAUGUUUACAUCUUUGCUCCUCCUAAAAUGUGGAUUAUUCUAGCUCCAAAUACUAUCAGAAAAUGAUCAUCACACUUGCUGAUUUAAUGAUGCUUCCAUCUUUUCGAACCACAUGUUGUUCAGAUACACUUUCAGAUAUACAUGUAUUAAGAUGACCAAUAAUAAUCAAAAUCAUUCAGUUUUCUUUGUAUACAUUUCUUCUGGCAAAUCGUGGUUGCAUUUUUUGGUACAAGUAACUUUCAAUUGCAUUUCAGGGUCAUGUCUUUACUUCAUACACUUUGUGUACUUCCUUACAUACUAAGGCUGUCUUCUGUUCCACAUGUUGUUACUGUUACUGCUUUUUAAUAAUGCAUUUUUGCAAAAUAUUAUUCUUCCCUAACAGUUCUUUGUCCGUGAUGAUAUUCUCUGGUAAAAUGAACUUCCUUCUUUCACGCAAUUAUUUGAUUUUCACCUCUGCAUUAUCUAGGAGGUAUAUGUUACCGGUGCUUCGAAUAUGUCCAUAUCUGUUUGGUGCUCGACAAGGUUGAGCAGAUACGACCUUCAUGUGUGAUUGUUUGGGCUGGUUGCUUCUCCAGCUAAUGUUUCUUCUUUUGUGGGGAAUAUUCUUGAUGGAACACUUAAAGCUUCCUGCUUAUAAUGCUUGGAACCAGCAUUUAAUUGAUGCUAGCGAUAUCUGUGUGCACAUGAAUUUAUUUAUUUUGGAUUUAGUCUAUCAACAUAAUUCUUUCGAUUAUGACAAACCGUUAUAAUUUGCCUCUUUCAGGUUGGGAUGCCUUCCCUUAUUAAUUUCUACUUCUCUUUUUUGCCCAGAUAUUCAGGUCUAUUUUAAAGAAACCGGUACCAGAAAUAUAUGUAGUAUGGCAAUGAAUGAGGCCAUAGAGCAUUUUCAGAGUAUUUUCAGGUUGAAGCUUUGUUCCCGUGUUGUGUUCUUCCAUUUACCCUGAUAAGCAGUGCAAGCAACAUUCUAUGAACAAGUUAUGUGGGCUGGAACUCCUGUGUGCACAUAACAAGUGCUUUUUUGUUCUCUUCAUAUUGGCUGCCACAUGCAGUUCUCUGCUUAGGAAAUGCAUGAACCUGAGCAGUGACGUGAUAGGGUAAGUUAGCCUAUAGAAGCUGUAAUUCAGCACAUGAAUUCUGAGUAGGUAAUUAGGUGUAUUCUUCUACAUGGAUUUAGAUCUUAGAAAGCUGCUCCUGAAAGCAAAUGUUCAGAGUAAAUUUCGUUUGCAGGUUUACCAAGAAAAUACUACAGCGAUUAAUCAUAAGGCAUACUUUUGAUCCUAGAACAGGAAGUGUAUUUGCACAGUAUGAUAUAACACACCAGUUUGUUAUAAUUGCCUCUAGAACGACUAUUAGCUAAUCAGAAUUGUCCGUACUGUAAAAGUUCAGUGUUGUUGAUGCUAAAUGGACCAGACGAAGUAAUUGCAUAGCAUCCGUUUUAGGAUUUGGAACGUUAAAAAUCUAUUGAAGGAAUUUAUAUGGAAAUAAGAAAAGGUUUGUGCAUUUAGGGGUAUGUGUUUCUCCUCUUCUCUUCAAUUCAGUUUGUUGACCAUAUGAAUGAGGUCCACAUGAUACACAUUCGGGAUACUGAUGUGGUACACAUGAAGUACUCUAAGAUUACAAAAGUGUGAUUUAAAAGCUGAGUUUUGUCUCCAUUCUGCUUUGAUUGGCGUGGAUAGAUUUCUACAAACAUAAGUUCAGAUUAAUUGUUUCAAUGCUAACUGUAGUAAUUUUUCUCCAGAAUGAUGUACAUAUUAGAGUUGAUCUACUUCUAAUUUCCUUGCAGUCAGUUCUUACAGUUUGCCUACUUUUUAACCAUGACUUCAAACCUAGAUUUGUAACAACAAAUUACUGUUUGUGUACCGAUCAGGUAUUGACGAGUCAAGGAGUAAAGUGUUAACGAGUCAAGGAAAUCUUUUGAGUAAUUCUGCAUACUGAAGAAUGAGAUAGGGGGCUCACUCAUAUCCUUUAUGCUUACUUUUUAUUUAGAAUAUUUUCCACUGUAAAUAUUCUUCUCUCUAUGGAUUCAAAAUUCUCCAGAUUUUGCGACUGUAAAUUCCCUAUGUUCAGAGGACAAUAGUAGGAAAAUGAUGGUGGGUCACAAAAUAUGCCACGCAGUGCAA